rfam:Prevotella sp. oral taxon 473 str. F0040 genomic scaffold Scfld437, whole genome shotgun sequence.
GGGCGCUUAGCUCAGCUGGUUCAGAGCGUCUGCCUUACAAGCAGAGGGUCGGCGGUUCGAAUCCGUCAGCGCCCA